GCCAUUGAUGACUAUUUCUAUUACGUGAAGCAAGUCAUGAGACUUGGGAAAUGUCGAAACUUUCAUGAAACUAGGACGGUCUGAGGC
rfam:Jatropha curcas cultivar GZQX0401 scaffold221_31, whole genome shotgun sequence.